UGGAAUGGCUGCGGGUAUCUCUGCUCAUGUUUGAGAUUUUUGCAUGACGGCCUGUUCGUCUGUGGAUUUCGAAAACGUGACAGAGGUUGAGAUUAUACCGCUUGAACCUGAUCAGCGCUCAGACCUGCGUAGGGAAGCCCCCAGUGUCACAC
rnacentral:ncRNA from 1 species